GAAAUGCGAUAAGUAAUGUGAAUUGCAGAAUUCAGUGAAUCAUCGAAUCUUUGAACGUACCUUGCGCUCCUUGGUAUUCCUUGGAGCAUGCCUGUCCGAGCGUCAUUACGCACCCUCAAGCCCGGCUUGUGUGAUGGGCCCCGGCGUCUCGUUCGCGAGACGGGCCCGAAAGGCAGCGGCGGCGUCGACCCGAUGAGCCCGAGCGUAUGGGGACUUCUGUCACACGUUCGCGGUGCGGACCGGCGCCUGCUUGACUUUUCUGAUUAUCCAGGUUGACCUCGGAUCAGGUAGGGAUACCCGCUGAACUUAAGC
rnacentral:misc_RNA from 1 species